UACGAAGGGGGCGAGCGUUAUUCGGAAUCACUGGGCGUAAAGCGUGCGUAGGCGGUUAUGAAAGUUAGAAGUGAAAGCCCAGGGCUUAACCUUGGAAUUGCUUUUAAAACUACAUGACUCGAAUUCGGGAGAGGAUAGCGGAAUUGUCAGUGUAGCAGUGAAAUGCGUAGAUAUUGACAGGAACACCAGUGGCGUAAGCGGCUAUCUGGACCGACAUUGACGCUGAGGCACGAAAGCGUGGGGAUCAAACAGG
rnacentral:rRNA from 1 species